GAUGAAGAACGUAGCGAAAUGCGAUAAGUAAUGUGAAUUGCAGAAUUCAGUGAAUCAUCGAAUCUUUGAACGCACCUUGCACCCUUUGGCAUUCCGAAGGGUAUGCUCGUUUGAGUGUCAUUGUACUCUCACACUCUCCGAUCCUAUGGAUUCGGGGAGCGGUGGACUUGGGUGUUGCUGCCUUUCCUUGUGGCUCACCUCAAAUGUGUCAGUGCACCUCUUGGUUGGACAUAGUACGGCGUGAUAAGUGUCUUCGCCGGCACCUCGCAAGAGGGUGGCCGAUCGGGAGCUCUGUGCUUUCCAACUGUCUUCAGACAACAACUGACAACUUGACCUCAAAUCGAGUAGGACCACCCGCUGAACUUAAGCAUAUCAAUAAGCGGAGGA
rnacentral:misc_RNA from 1 species